ACAGCUAACUAUCUAGCGGUUAGCAUCAGCAUGAACGGCUAGCGUUAGCUUUAGCACUAGCCUUCUGUUUUUCGGCCAUUUUCCCUCGUUUUUAUCGCGUGGGUCCGAGUGUGUUUGUGUCUCUGAGUCCAAAUCAUCUCUGCGCUAACUAAUUAGCAUUAUCGUGGAGUGUUAGCCUUAGCAUUAGCCUCGUCUCUUAGCGGUACCUUUUAGCUGUGUUCCGUUGUUUGUAUCGCGUGGCUCAGAGUGUUAGUGUUUCUCUGACAUGAGUUGUGGGCCCAUUAAAUGAGCCUCUCUCGGUCUGUUUCCAUCUCUUCACGCUCUCUGUUCAGACAUGUCGUGUCUCUGUAAUGGUGUGUUCCAUCCGGGUCAUCUGAAGUCAGUUUGUUUCGGGUGUCACCACUUCGUCCACAACAUCAUCCACAAUUGCUGAGACGUCGUCCAUGAUCGGAGAGACAUUGUUGAGGAUGAGGGAGACAUCGUCCACGAUCAGAGACGUUGUCCCGUGACUCGUGGUGACUCGGUCCCCGAUAAGUCGGCACUGCCGGCGUUCAUGGAGACAUUGUCAAUGAUCGCUGAGACUUUGUCCAUAAUCUCAGAGACAUUGUCCGCGAUCAGAGACGUAGUCCGCAAUCACAGACGACAUCGUCCACCAUCGCUGAGCCGUCGUCCAUGAUCGGAGAGACAUUGUUGAGGAUGAGGGAGACAUCGUCCACGAUCAGAGACAUUGUCCGUGACUCGUGGUGACUCGGUCCCCGAUAAGUCGGCACUGCCGGCGUUCAUGGAGACAUUGUCGAUGAUCGCAGAGACUUUGUCCAUAAUCUCAGAGACAUUGUCUGCGAUCGCAGAGAGUCUUCGUACAGUGACGUUCUUUGAGACCAGGACAGAGGCCUCCAGGUGUCACCACUUCGUCCACAACAUCAUCCACAAUUGCUGAGACGUCGUCCAUGAUCGGAGAGACAUUGUUGAGGAUGAGGGAGACAUCGUCCACGAUCAGAGACGUUGUCCGUGAUCGCAGAGACCUUGUCAAAGAUGAGAGAGACGUUGUCCAUGGUCAGAGACAUUGUCGCUGCUUCGCAGAGCUCUGCGCAAGAGUCGGUAGUGACACUGUGGUUCCUCGAUUCGACGGCAUGACCGCGAUCAGCUGACAUUGUUAAUGAUCACAGAGAAACAGUCUAUCAUCAGAGACUUGGUCCACGAUCACAGACACAUUGUCAAUGAUCGCUGAGACUUUGUCCAUAAUCUCAGAGACAUUGUCCGCGAUCACAGAGACGUAGUCCCCCAUCACAGAAGACCAGGUGUCACCAUUUCGUCCACAACAUCGUCCACAAUUGCUGAGACGUCGUCCAUGAUCGGAGAGACAUUGUUGAGGAUGAGGGAGACAUCGUCCACGAUCAGAGACAUUGUCCCGUGACUCGUGGUGACUCGGUCCCCGAUAAGUCGGCACUGCCGGCGUUCAUGGAGACAUUGUCAAUGAUCGCUGAGACUUUGUCCAUAAUCUCAGAGACAUUGUCCGCGAUCAGAGACACGUAGUCCCCCAUCACAGAAGACCAGGUGUCACCAUUUCGUCCACAACAUCGUCCACAAUUGCUGAGACGUCGUCCAUGAUCGGAGAGACAUUGUUGAGGAUGAGGGAGACAUCGUCCACGAUCAGAGACAUUGUCCCGUGACUCGUGGUGACUCGGUCCCCGAUAAGUCGGCACUGCCGGCGUUCAUGGAGACAUUGUCAAUGAUCGCUGAGACUUUGUCCAUAAUCUCAGAGACAUUGUCCGCGAUCAGAGACGUAGUCCGCAAUCACAGACGACAUCGUCCACCAUCGCUGAGACGUCGUCCAUGAUCGGAGAGACAUUGUUGAGGAUGAGGGAGACAUCGUCCUCGAUCAGAGACAUUGUCCGUGACUCGUGGUGACUCGGUCCCCGAUAAGUCGGCACUGCCGGCGUUCAUGGAGACAUUGUCGAUGAUCGCAGAGACUUUGUCCAUGAUCUCAGAGACAUUGUCUGCGAUCGCAGAGAGUCUUCGUACAGUGACGUUCUUUGAGACCAGGACAGAGGCCUCCAGGUGUCACCACUUCGUCCACAACAUCAUCCACAAUUGCUGAGACGUCGUCCAUGAUCGGAGAGACAUUGUUGAGGAUGAGGGAGACAUCGUCCACGAUCAGAGACGUUGUCCGUGAUUGCAGAGACCUUGUCAAAGAUGAGAGAGACGUUGUCCAUGGUCAGAGACAUUGUCGCUGCUUCGCAGAGCUCUGCGCAAGAAUCGGUAGUGACACUGUGGUUCCUCGAUUCGACGGCAUGACCGCGAUCAGCUGACAUUGUUAAUGAUCACAGUGAAACAGUCUAUCAUCAGAGACUUGGUCCACGAUCACAGACACAUUGUCAAUGAUCGCUGAGACUUUGUCCAUAAUCUCAGAGACAUUGUCCGCGAUCACAGAGACGUAGUCCCCCAUCACAGAAGACCAGGUGUCACCAUUUCGUCCACAACAUCGUCCACAAUUGCUGAGACGUCGUCCAUGAUCGGAGAGACAUUGUUGAGGAUGAGGGAGACAUCGUCCACGAUCAGAGACAUUGUCCCGUGACUCGUGGUGACUCGGUCCCCGAUAAGUCGGCACUGCCGGCGUUCAUGGAGACAUUGUCAAUGAUCGCUGAGACUUUGUCCAUAAUCUCAGAGACAUUGUCCGCGAUCAGAGACGUAGUCCGCAAUCACAGACGACAUCGUCCACCAUCGCUGAGACGUCGUCCAUGAUCGGAGAGACAUUGUUGAGGAUGAGGGAGACAUCGUCCUCGAUCAGAGACAUUGUCCGUGACUCGUGGUGACUCGGUCCCCGAUAAGUCGGCACUGCCGGCGUUCAUGGAGACAUUGUCGAUGAUCGCAGAGACUUUGUCCAUGAUCUCAGAGACAUUGUCUGCGAUCGCAGAGAGUCUUCGUACAGUGACGUUCUUUGAGACCAGGACAGAGGCCUCCAGGUGUCACCACUUCGUCCACAUCAUCAUCCACAAUUGCUGAGACGUCGUCCAUGAUCGGAGAGACAUUGUUGAGGAUGAGGGAGACAUCGUCCACGAUCAGAGACGUUGUCCGUGAUUGCAGAGACCUUGUCAAAGAUGAGAGAGACGUUGUCCAUGGUCAGAGACAUUGUCGCUGCUUCGCAGAGCUCUGCGCAAGAAUCGGUAGUGACACUGUGGUUCCUCGAUUCGACGGCAUGACCGCGAUCAGCUGACAUUGUUAAUGAUCACAGUGAAACAGUCUAUCAUCAGAGACUUGGUCCACGAUCACAGACACAUUGUCAAUGAUCGCUGAGACUUUGUCCAUAAUCUCAGAGACAUUGUCCGCGAUCACAGAGACGUAGUCCCCCAUCACAGAAGACCAGGUGUCACCAUUUCGUCCACAACAUCGUCCACAAUUGCUGAGACGUCGUCCAUGAUCGGAGAGACAUUGUUGAGGAUGAGGGAGACAUCGUCCACGAUCAGAGACAUUGUCCCGUGACUCGUGGUGACUCGGUCCCCGAUAAGUCGGCACUGCCGGCGUUCAUGGAGACAUUGUCAAUGAUCGCUGAGACUUUGUCCAUAAUCUCAGAGACAUUGUCCGCGAUCAGAGACGUAGUCCGCAAUCACAGACGACAUCGUCCACCAUCGCUGAGACGUCGUCCAUGAUCGGAGAGACAUUGUUGAGGAUGAGGGAGACAUCGUCCUCGAUCAGAGACAUUGUCCGUGACUCGUGGUGACUCGGUCCCCGAUAAGUCGGCACUGCCGGCGUUCAUGGAGACAUUGUCGAUGAUCGCAGAGACUUUGUCCAUGAUCUCAGAGACGUAGUCCACGAUCACUGAGUCCUCAUAUAAUGAAGACGGUGUCACCACUUUGUCCACGAUCUGAGAGACAUGGUCUACGAUCAGAGAUGUUGUCUAUGACUCACAGAGACGUGCAAGAGUCGGUAGUGGCGGAGUUCCCCGAUUCAACGGCAGUGCCUGGGAUCAGAAAGAUAUUGUCGAUACAUGAUCAUGGAGACUUUGUCCAUAAACAGAGAUAUUGUCUGCGAUCACAGAGACGUAGUUCACGAUCGCAGAGAGGUUCAGGACAGAGACCUGCAAGUAACCUGCAAUAUAAAUGCAACUAGGAAUAUCUGAAGAUUUAACAGUCAAAGUAAUCUCUUCCUAGAUGUAGUUUGCAACAGUAGAAGUUGUCUGUAAACUUCGAAGUAAAAGUACAAAAAAAGUAAAAAUAAUAAUUAUUUUGUACAAAAUGUACAAAAUAAUGGUAAAUAUAAUUAGAGGUAACAAUAACUGUUAUCUGUAAUAUUUAAGCAAUGCAGAAGUAAUCCAAAAAAUACAAAUGUCAUAGUAUAGUAAGGCCUCCAAACAUGGUCAUAGUAUAG